rnacentral:lncRNA from 1 species
CUAAAGUUGCAUAUUGAAAAAAUGACAUGCUAAAGUUUCUGACAGUCCCAAAUUUACCAUAUAUUUAGCUACAUACCCUAAAUACAAUUGUAGCUACUAAUCCAUGCUUGGCCAAGUCUUUGCCUCACAGUCCAUAAUUCAGUUAUAAUGCAAUAAUCUAGCUAAUACAACUGAAGACAACCACACCACACCGAAUAAGAGGAUCAAACAUAUAAACAUCAUGAAGAAAAACUGUAAAUAAAUAACACAAUCUGAUAUAAUGCUUCAAACUCUCAUUUUCAUUUCUUCCCUUCACAACCAAAGAGUUACAGAGUUGUGUACCUGAAAAUUAGAGUAAAGAGGUAAGGUUCAUCAGUAGUAAUCACAGGAUCCCAACAGCAAAAUAAAUCACAAAAUAGCUUUGAACCAAAAAAAAUUGAUACCCAGCAGUCACAGAUCCGCAACCAGAAUUUCAAACCAGCUUUUAAAAUACCAAAACUUAAAUCAUAUCGAGCCUAGUAGCUCAGAAACCAAUUCAGGAAUCUGAAAUUGGAUAUGUCACAAAAGGACUCGAUGCAACAGCGAUCUCAACUAAACUCCAAACAAAAACACCUUAUAAAACCCACCAACUCGUACUGAGAUUAUUCCAUUUCGACUCUAAGGCUGUUCAAGGAGUAUUUUAGAGGUUGAAAAGCAGUAGAAAUUCACUCAAAAUCUAAUGGAACAGUAAUCUUUUUCUGUAUAGGAGUUGGAG